rnacentral:rRNA from 1 species
UCGAUUAGUUUGAUCAUGGCUCAGAGCGAACGCUGGCGGCAGGCCUAACACAUGCAAGUCGAGCGCCCGUAGCAAUACGGGAGCGGCAGACGGGAGAGUAACACGUGGGAACGUACCCUUCAGUUCGGAACAACCAAGGGAAACUUUGGCUAAUACCGGAUACGUCCGUAAGGAGAAAGAUUUAUCGCUGAAGGAUCGGCCCGCGUCUGAUUAGCUAGUUGGUGAGGUAACGGCCCACCAAGGCGACGAUCAGUAGCUGGUCUGAGAGGAUGAUCAGCCUCAUUGGGACUGAGACACGGCCCAAACUCCUACGGGAGGCAGCAGUGGGGAAUAUUGGACAAUGGGCGCAAGCCUGAUCCAGCCAUGCCGCGUGGGUGAUGAAGGCCCUAGGGUUGUAAAGCCCUUUCGGCGGGGAAGAUAAUGACGGUACCCGCAGAAGAAGCCCCGGCUAACUUCGUGCCAGCAGCCGCGGUAAUACGAAGGGGGCUAGCGUUGCUCGGAAUCACUGGGCGUAAAGCGCACGUAGGCGGAUUUCUAAGUCAGGGGUGAAAUCCUGGAGCUCAACUCCAGAACUGCCUUUGAUACUGGGAAUCUUCGAGUCCGGGAGAGGUGAGUGGAACUGCGAGUGUAGAGGUGAAAUUCGUAGAUAUUCGCAAGAACACCAGUGGCGAAGGCGGCUCACUGGCCCGGUACUGACGCUGAGGUGCGAAAGCGUGGGGAGCAGACAGGAUUAGAUACCCUGGUAGUCCACGCCGUAAACGAUGGAUGCUAGCUGUUGGUGGGUUUACCCUUCA